UGGUUAGCCCUAUGCAAUAGGCAUUGUGAGCAACGCUUCAGGAUGGGAACAUAGCAGAGCACUUGCAAUGUUUGUGUGCCAUUGGUCCCUGGCUGGAA
rfam:Helicobacter bilis strain ATCC 49320 CONTIG_141, whole genome shotgun sequence.